CACCAAACUCCUCCAGGAAAGCUCAGCAGCAGCAAUCACGGCUGCUAACGCGGAAUUCCCAGGGUUGCCCGAAAUCAACCGGCAUGGGGCUGCUCCUCAGCUCGAAACGCGACGUCAGUGAGCCGCUACCUACCACACCCGUUAGUAAUGCUCACCACCGUAGAUGGGAUCUCCCGGUGCAACAACCUGUAAGAGUCGCCGGAGCGACUGCAAAGCAGUGGCCGGGCUUCCUUUCCCGGGGUCCCGGGGUCCCGGGGAGGCCGGGCGGGAGUCGGAAUCCCGGAGUCCAGCCGCUCCGCGCCGGUCCAGACUGGCCGGGAUGCUGACUGGGGGAGGGGUCCGUAGCGCCUCCCCCAUCGGGAAGGUGCAAGCUACAGUGGAAACUGGCCUCACGGAGAAUGAAGAGAACCAUUGCCGGUCCUCGCGUGAGGACCUCGCCCAGACUGGAAAAUGGAGCCG
rnacentral:lncRNA from 1 species